CAGUAGCCGCGGGAAUACGUAGGGUGCGAGCGUUAAUCGGAAUUACUGGGCGUAAAGCGUGCGCAGGCGGUUAUAUAAGACAGAUGUGAAAUCCCCGGGCUCAACCUGGGACCUGCAUUUGUGACUGUAUAGCUAGAGUACGGUAGAGGGGGAUGGAAUUCCGCGUGUAGCAGUGAGAUGCGUAGAUAUGCGGAGGAACACCGAUGGCGAAGGCAAUCCCCUGGACCUGUACUGACGCUCAUGCACGAAAGCGUGGGGAGCAAACAGGAUUAGAUACCCCAGUAGUCCCUGUCUCUUAUAC
rnacentral:rRNA from 1 species